rnacentral:rRNA from 1 species
AUUGAACGGCUGGCGGAAUGCUUUACACAUGCAAGUCGAACGGCAGCAACGGGGCAACCUGGUGGCGAGUGGCGAACGGGUGAGUAAUACAUCGGAACGUGACCCAAUCGUGGGGAUAACGUAGCGAAAGUUACGCUAAUACCGCAUACGAUCUACGGAUGAAAGCGGGGAUCGCAAGACCUCGCGCGAAUGGAGCGGCCGAUGUCAGAUUAGGUAGUUGGUGGGGUAAAGGCUCACCAAGCCGACGAUCUGUAGCUGGUCUGAGAGGACGACCAGCCACACUGGGACUGAGACACGGCCCAGACUCCUACGGGAGGCAGCAGUGGGGAAUUUUGGACAA